rnacentral:snoRNA from 1 species
UAGCCCAAUGACAAGAAUGUGUCAUAAACCUAAGAUUAUGACUAAUUCAAUUCUGUACACCUAAGAUU